rnacentral:rRNA from 1 species
UGAGGAAUAUUGGUCAAUGGUCGGGAGACUGAACCAGCCAAGCCGCGUGAGGGAUGAAGGUACAGAGUAUCGUAAACCUCUUUUGCCAGGGAACAAAAGGCGCCACGUGUGGCGCUCCGAGUGUACCUGAAGAAAAAGCAUCGGCUAACUCCGUGCCAGCAGCCGCGGUAAUACGGAGGAUGCGAGCGUUAUCCGGAUUUAUUGGGUUUAAAGGGUGCGUAGGCGGCGAGUUAAGUCAGCGGUAAAAGCCCGGGGCUCAACCCCGGCCCGCCGUUGAAACUGGCUUGCUUGAGUUGGAGAGAAGUAGGCGGAAUGCGCGGUGUAGCGGUGAAAUGCUUAGAUAUCACGCAGAACUCCGAUUGCGAAGGCAGCGUACCGGCGCCCAACUGACGCUGAAGCACGAAGGCGUGGGUAUCGAACAGGAUUAGAUACC